UACGUAGGGGGCGAGCGUUGUCCGGAAUUAUUGGGCGUAAAGGGCGCGUAGGCGGUCUUGUAAGUCUCGUGUGAAAUCCCUCGGCUUAACUGAGGAACUGCACGGGAUACUGCAUGACUUGAGGUCGGGAGAGGGAAGCGGAAUUCCGGGUGUAGCGGUGAAAUGCGUAGAUAUCCGGAGGAACACCGGUGGCGAAGGCGGCUUCCUGGACCGACUCUGACGCUGAGGCGCGAAAGCUAGGGGAGCAAACGGG
rnacentral:rRNA from 1 species